UUAAGCGUGCUUGGGCGAGAGUAG
rnacentral:snRNA from 1 species